rnacentral:rRNA from 1 species
GAUGAACGCUAGCGGGAGGCCUAACACAUGCAAGCCGAGCGGUAGAGUUUCUUCGGAAACUUGAGAGCGGCGCACGGGUGCGUAACACGUGUGCAACCUACCUUUAUCUGGGGGAUAGCCUUUCGAAAGGAAGAUUAAUACCCCAUAAUAUAAUGAUUGGCAUCAAUUAUUAUUGAAAACUCCGGUGGAUAGAGAUGGGCACGCGCAAGAUUAGAUAGUUGGUGAGGUAACGGCUCACCAAGUCAAUGAUCUUUAGGGGUCCUGAGGGGGAGAUCCCCCACACUGGUACUGAGACACGGACCAGACUCCUACGGGAGGCAGCAGUGAGGAAUAGUGGACAAUGGGUGAGAGCCUGAUCCAGCCAUCCCGCGUGAAGGAUGACGGUCCUAUGGAUUGUAAACUUCUUUUGUACAGGGAUAAACCUACCCUCGUGAGGGUAGCUGAAGGUACUGUACGAAUAAGCACCGGCUAACUCCGUG